CAAGCAGUGACUCGGGCACCCCACAGGAAGUUUGACCCUGAAAUAGAUCCCUUUAUGAACUUACUACUGCAAUUCCUCAUGCAGGGGAUUAUCAAGUGCCUGCAAAGGGAGGUGCCCAUCCCAGGCUAAGGAUUGUGGGGUAAAAGUGAAGUCAGAGUCUCGGCCCAUAGGUAGCUCCAGGCAUCAUGGGGAGUGGGUGUGGGGUAAAACAGCCAUCUGCUGUCACAGGAAACUAUCCUUUGCCAUCUCCAGGAGAUUAGAGGAGAUGGACAGUUUUGGAGGAAUCAGCAAAGGAUUUGUCUCACAAGUGCUGACCAGCAGUAGAACCAUCUGACAGAGAAAAAUAGUGGACUGCGGGUUGUGGACAAGGACCAUGUCUAAUUUGCCUUUGAAUACUGAAACUGUUCUCAGGUGCCACAACAGAAAUCUGAAGGGCUCAGCUUGAGGAACUAGGUGUCUGCCCUCAGAAUCGAUUUGGCCAUAUCAGGGAUUGACUGGAGAUGAGGGAGAUGAUAGAAUGAUACCCACAAGGCCUCUCAAAGGCUGGGAACCACUGAUAUCCUAAAAGAUCAUGGGCAGACUACCCUCUGUCCUCAGAAAGGAGGGGAGGUGGCUGGGAAUGGAAGCCCCCUCUGGCUUCUGUUGUGAGCAGUGGCCAAACUCGGUGACUCGGGAGAAUUCAUUUCUGCCCAUAAGCUCAAUGCCCCCCAGCCGUGGAAGCAGUGGAAUCAUGGGAGCAAAGGCAGCAAGAUGAAUAUGGGUCAUCUCAGAAGGCACCAGGGCAGCUCAUACACCUUCCCAGUAGGGAUGAGGCAGUCAGGCAGGUAACCCAUGGUUCCAAAGGACCCAGGUCACAAGAACACACAUCUUCAGAGGUGAGACCUGGGGAGGCCAGAGGAGGUAAUCCUAGGUCUCUAGCAGGCCACCCAGGGAGGAGUCACAAGUGUUCUUUGACUUAAUGUGUGGGAAAAAACCAGUGCAUCUGAUGUAAAGAACAUAUUGAGUAUGAGGCAAUUUAGUACAGGAACCAAAGUCUCUCUGACCCCAAGUCUGAGUUAGGAGUCCUCCCCUUCUGUCCCACAGCUCCCCUCUUACAGUUUCCGUGUCCACCUCCUCUGCUAGGGUGUGACCUUCCAGAACACAGGAACCAUUCGAGACCUUUCUGAGGCCCAGGCACCUACCACACCACUAGGUCCAGACCGGAUCCUAGGCAAUGACUCCUGCAUACCCCGAAUGCACACACCGUGAAUGAGAAGACAAUGAAGACCUCCCAACAGCAUUUCAACAAAAAUAUUUACAAGUUUUCUCCGGACCCUGGCAAUUCAUUUGGCCAACUAACCACCUCUUUCCAGCCUGAAUGGACGAAGACACCAAUCACAUCCUUUACAUCCAUGUGGAACUGUUUACUAACUUGUCACUGAAAUGAGUCAUCUGAAGAUAUACCUCUUAAACACAUAACCACUGUGCAGUAAAGAAAGCCAAAGUGUAACCACAUACAGCUGCUCAAAGUGCUAAGAAAUAUAUAGCUUAGGGGAGAGAAAUGCCACUAAC